rnacentral:rRNA from 1 species
CCUACGGGUGGCAGCAGUGGGGAAUAUUGCACAAUGGGGGAAACCCUGAUGCAGCGACGCCGCGUGAGUGAAGAAGUAAUUCGUUACGUAAAGCUCUAUCGGCAGGGAAGAAAAUGACGGUACCUGCGUAAGAAGCCCCGGCUAACUACGUGCCAGCAGCCGCGGUAAUACGUAGGGGGCAAGCGUCAUCCGGAUGUACUGGGUGGAAAGGGAGCGUAGACGGUGCGCCAAGUAGGUAGUGAAAUGCCGCAGCUUAACUCCGGAACUGCUUUGGAAACUGGCGAACUAGAGUGCGGGAGGGGUAAGCGGAAUGCCUAGUGUAGCGGUGAAAUGCGUAGAGAUUAGGAGGAACACCGGUGGCGAAGGCGGCUUACUGGAUCGUAACUGACGUUGAGGCUCGAAAGCGUGGGGAGCAAACAGGAUUAGAUACCCGAGUAGUC